UACGUAGGUCCCGAGCGUUGUCCGGAUUUAUUGGGCGUAAAGCGAGCGCAGGCGGUUAGGUAAGUCUGAAGUUAAAGGCUGUGGCUUAACCACAGUACGCUUUGGAAACUGUUUAACUUGAGUGCAAGAGGGGAGAGUGGAAUUCCAUGUGUAGCGGUGAAAUGCGUAGAUAUAUGGAGGAACACCGGUGGCGAAAGCGGCUCUCUGGCUUGUAACUGACGCUGAGGCUCGAAAGCGUGGGGAGCAAACAGGAUUAGAUACCCUGGUAGUC
rnacentral:rRNA from 1 species